AUGAACUGUUUCAUUCAGAGAGAUGGCUGUGGAUUUUUUUUUCAGCGGCAUGAUGAUCCCUGCUCCCCAUUUGUUGUACAACUACUAAUGGAUCUUUGGGAUGCAAUCAGGAGGUUUGAAGCUGCAUGUGGUGAUGGCUGGAAGCAAUGGAUAGAACAGAUGCAGAGAAAUGGAACAGAGGAUGCAUUGAGACAAUUAGUUCUGAAGAAAAAUGCAGAAGUUCAAGCAAAUAGGGCAAGAUGUGAUAGUUUAGAAAGAAAACAAAUGUCCAGCAUUGUGUUUUAUGGCAUGAUCAUGUUAGUGGCAGGUUUAUUUGCAAGAUUUGUCCUGCAUUGA
rnacentral:rRNA from 1 species